AGAGCGAACGCUGGCGGCAGGCCUAACACAUGCAAGUCGAGCGCCCCGCAAGGGGAGCGGCAGACGGGAGAGUAACACGUGGGAACGUACCCUUCAGUUCGGAACAACCCAGGGAAACUUGGGCUAAUACCGAAUACGUCCGUAAGGAGAAAGAUUUAUCGCUGAAGGAUCGGCCCGCGUCUGAUUAGCUUGUUGGUGAGGUAAUGGCUCACCAAGGCUACGAUCAGUAGCUGGUCUGAGAGGAUGAUCAGCCUCACUGGGACUGAGACACGGCCCAGACUCCUACGGGAGGCAGCAGUGGGGAAUAUUGCGCAAUGGGCGAAAGCCUGACGCAGCGACGCCGCGUGGGGGAUGAAGGCCUUCGGGUUGUAAACCCCUUUCAGCAGGGACGAAGCGAGAGUGACGGUACCUGCAGAAGAAGCGCCGGCUAGCUACGUGCCAGCAGCCGC
rnacentral:rRNA from 1 species